CAAAAGCAAGAAAUACUCAUGAAUCCAGAUGAAGGCACAAGAAGGAAACAACCCAGCAAGUGAGGCAGAGGCCAUCCCUCUCCACCUGCCACCAGCAGACCAAUUUACCACCAGUUGCAUGAGGAAAUAAAAGCUCUCCAGGUGAUACCCUCACUGUGCUCCUGGGUCCUGACAGAGUUGAGUGCCAAACUGCUUGGUGCUUGCAAGAAGAUGGAGAUUCUGGACUUUCCCACCAGCAAAACAGGAAUUACUACUACCCAGUAUCAAUGACAAAAGGAAAGUUGCUCAUUUGCACUCUGGGGACACAGUAGUCCAGCUCGCAAUCUUUCUCCUUGAUACAGGAAAUUUCUGCCCAUGGUGUCAACAGCAAAAUUAUGAUUGAUUGAGCCUCCAUUAUUCUGUUGGUGUAUUCUUCUGCUAUGAGACACGGAUUGCCCCUCAACUGGGAGACUGUUUUGUGAAGACUUUCACAUGGAUGGUGAGGUAGGAGUAUGGUAUUACAAUGGAAAAAAACCCCAUUUACUCUGUCCUUCAUCUCUGAAGCACAUCAAAGCCUGACUGAAUUCUCUGUGUGAAGGAAGGAAGAGAAGUACCAGAUGACAGCAUUGGGCUGCUAUUUAGACAAAGUAGAAGAGGAGUAGAUCUGAACCAUCAGCCUGUACUUGGCUUAUGUCUAACUUCACUGUUAACAGGAAUACAGCUGCAAAAACUUUAAUGGACACAUUUGCUUGAGAAGGUAACCUACCACCAUGGACUCCUUUUAUUUUUUGCUGUCAAAAGAAUAGAUAGGAGUUAUCCUAAGGAAGUAAAAACGAUAGACCUAAAUAUUAAAAGUAAGUGCUAAAUAGAGAGCUGACAUGAGUUCAUCCUUCAAAGGGUACCAGAUUGCCCUAAAAGAUGAUUCUCAGCAUCAAUAGAAAUCAUGGAUAUGUCAGAUAAUGGAAAUGAUGUUUGCUGGGAACUACAGCUGCCAGUUUUCCAGCUGACAAUAUGAGUGAAUACUUGGGCUUAAAAAGUAAUUUACUAGAUAUUUUAUUGACAAAUUAUUUUUACAUAUGUACUGAAUCAAAAUUUAUCUCUGAAGUUUUGAGCUAUUAUUUCUAAUCCUGGUGAUAUACCCCAAGGAAUAAUUAACACUUUAUGAAGUCCUGGCUUUUAGAGAUUUUAAAUGCCCAUGUUUCUACCUCAUCCUUUGUAAUUGUUAAGCAAAGACACACAUACUUAUGUUAACCCACAUGUUCUUAAAUAUCCAAAUCAAAUCUUCCAGACCAUGGUUUUCCUU